GUGAGGGGACAGCGGGCAUGAGAGCACGGUCACCCCGCGGUGGGGCCAUGGUGGGUGUGAGGGGACAGCGAGCAUGAGAGCACGGUCACCCCGCGGUGGGGCCAUGGUGGGUGUGAGGGGACAGCGGGCAUGAGAGCACGGUCACCCCGCGGUGGGGCCAUGGUGGGUGUGAGGGGACAGCGGGCAUGAGAGCACGGUCACCCCGCGGUGGGGCCAUGGUGGGUGUGAGGGGACAGCGGGCAUGAGAGCACGGUCACCCCGCGGUGGGGCCAUGGUGGGUGUGAGGGGACAGCGGGCAUGAGAGCACGGUCACCCCGCGGUGGGGCCAUGGUGGGUGUGAGGGGACAGCGGGCAUGAGAGCACGGUCACCCCGCGGUGGGGCCAUGGUGGGUGUGAGGGGACAGCGGGCAUGAGAGCACGGUCACCCCGCGGUGGGGCCAUGGUGGGUGUGAGGGGACAGCGGGCAUGAGAGCACGGUCACCCCGCAGCAGGUGGUCUGUCAGAACUGCUGGUUCCCCUCAGCUGCGGCCGGGGGACUUGGGGUGCCCACCUCGCACAGCCCCGCACCUACAGAAUUUCUCCCCAUAAAUUAUAACUUUGGUAUUGCUUGGCCAGGAUUUGAUAACAUUUGACAGACAAACCUAAAGGAAUAGAUUAAGCGAUUUUGUUGGAAUAAAAGAUACUGGAUUUUCUUACCUCUGAAACAAGGCUGAGGUGAACAUGUGCAACUCAACUUCUGCUUUCAAAGACGAUUAAUUUGUUGAAAUGGAAAAUAAUUACUUGAAAUUGAAAAUCAUUGAUUUUGAAACAAAUUACAGAACUUUACAUCCUACUGUAGAGCUCGUCUUUGCACGACUGGUUCCUUUCAUCGCAGAGCAGCGGUCCCAGCUCACGCACUCGGAGCUGCUGGACUCUCACCCCCUCAUGGCACAGAUUCCAGCAGUGAGGAAUGUUCAUGGCUUAGACAGUGGGACAGGUCUGACUCCGAUGCCUUUCGCCACAGGAGGGCAGAGUAUGAACAGGUGUCUGCAGGGUGGGGGUGACUGUCCUACACAGCCAGAGGGAACUGCCUUUCUGAAAUAUUUUCUGAUGUUUCUGAAAGUCAACAAAGAAAAGUUAUGAAUGCCAGUUCUGUUGUCAAUCUGCACCUCUAAAAUUAACAUGAGGUUGAUAUCAUGUUUGCUACUGAGAAACUAUCACAUGGGACAGCUAAAGGUCUCCCCAUCCAGGAGCUCUGGGUUCCUCACAGGAGGAGCUGUUGCAGCCCUGGGUUGGAGGAGGUGUCACCUCUCCUGUCACCUUUCCUGCCCCUGCCAAUGUGCAUGGAGCUGCCAUAGGGUGGCUGCUCAUUCACCUCUGGAUGUGCCGAAGAAGGGUCCUCACCUGCUCUGGCUCUGUGACUUCAUCAAAUACAGGUGGCCCUAAAAUAAACAUUUGCCUGGAAGAGGAGGCGGCAGCACCUGCUGCUUCAUUCUGCCUGGUCUGUGAGCACCAGCCCAGCAGCAGCAUCUGCAUGGGGCUCUUCCCUCUCACACCCUGACUAUUGUUACCUUCCUCUCAGGACAUCUUUUCCAUUCAUGCAGAAACAUAUGGAUCUAUAAUUCCCACACUCCCAGUGGGUUUCUCAUAAUUUGAUCUUUCUACGCUGCACUGGACACCCCUCAAAUCCUGCCUUUUUUCCAAUACAAGAGUUCUUGCCUCCUAUUGUUGCCUGCACCAAGUCCCUAAUAGAAAAUCCAGAGUUUCAGUUUCCAGAAGCUUUUGCCCCAUUCCAUCAUUGCUAAAUGUCUUCCUCUGCAUUCCCAGCAUUUGCAAAUGGUUUGCAUCUCUGCUGGAUCUUUCUUUGGAUUCUGCAUUACAUCUCUUCACUCUUUGUCUUAUUUUUUUCCUAAAGCCAUUACAAGUAAAGUGUUACCCAUCAGGUGAGCCCAAGGACCGGGGGGGGGGCAGAAAAAAGGUAGAGGAAGCCUUAGGAUUUGAGCUGAAUCCAAAGCUGGGACUGACUGGCUCUGCUGAGAUGGACAUGGUGGGUUCAGUGGACCAUAAAUAGGAUGAACAUCUGCAGUGUGUCCUGGCUGCUGCAGUGAUGUCCUGGGCUGCAUGGAUUCACCUGGCAGGGCCCAGGAAGGGAUUGUUCCUUUUACCUGGCACUCAUUAUAUUGCACCAGUGGUGCUGUGUUCAGGCCUUGCAAAGCAGGAAGAACUUGAAUAAACUGGAAUAAGUUUAGAGGAGAGCCAUGAAGCUGUCUGGGGCCUGGAGCAUGAGGAGCAGUGGAAGGAACAAGCCUUUUACAGCCUGGAGAAGUAGAAGUGAGCUGAGGUAGAUGUAAAACAGCCACCUGAAUUUCUGAUUAACCAAUGGAGAACAAGUAUAAGAGUGAUCCAUCCCAGUGUUCAGCAAGUAUAUCACGAGGCCAGACAGACUGAGUGGAAAAUUCUGGAUCAUGUUUAAAUACAAAAAUUAAGAAUGUGGGGGGUGGAAGCAGCAUCAAAACUACCCAAGAGAUAUACACAGGCAUUGCAAGGACAUCAGGAACAGAACUGUAAAAGCCAGAGUUCCUCUUGACCUCACUGAAGACCAAGGAAAGAAGAAAAAGUGCAGCACCUUACUCUCCCCGGGCUGCUCCAAGUUUAUGAAGAGAGAGCCUGUUGAAGACUAGGAGCAUCUGCAGAGUCCGGGGCAUACCUGUAACCUUCUGCAGGGCAGGCUGCAGCCACUGGUCACAGAAGUACUCAAGUCAAAGGAAGUCAGAAAAGCAGCAAGAAUGAUGCAAAGGUUGAGGAAGAUGGGGGAACUGCAAAGGGGAGGUCCUUCCUAGAGUGAGUUCAUUCAGGCAAAGACUCACCAAUGGGCCAAGGACUGCAGGGACAACCUGGCAAGACUGCUUCCUGGGAAGAUAAGAGUAAUGGGGGUAUCUAUCUUCCAAUAAGAUGUUGGUCCUUCCUUGUGUAUAUAUCCCAACAGCAGAGUCCUGUAGAAAGCAAAUGUUGCUAUUUCUUUUACGAGAGAAAGUACUUUUUACAAUAACUAAAAGGAAAAUUGGUCAUGAAUUGGCUGGUGUGGCCAGGGUGCUCCCUGUCAUUGACACCAAAGGAGAAAUGUGUAGAGUGAGGAGAAAACUAGAUGAAAAAGUAAACUAAAUUCAAGAGAUUUAUGUAACAGAGCAAAAAUAAAGGGCUCAGUAGUCACAGUG